GCAUUUGAGGGCAAUGUGGCUGAGACAUCUAUCACCCCAUUUAUCGCCAGGGUCGAUUCAGCUGAUCCGGCUGGCUAGGUGGGUUUCCCCUUUCUCCCUCACCUCUCCAAGUGUGUCCCUCCCAAAGCUGCGCACUCCAUCAAAGAGGACAAUCUUCCUCCAUAGAGGAGGAGGGUUCUUAAGUCAAGGAUAUAAGAGUAGAUGCAUUCCCCUAGUUGAGCCUCCAAACAAGCUCUGAAGGUACAUUUGUAGGAGAAGGUAGGCCAGUCAAGCUUCCAAGACUCCAGACACACCCAAAUGAGGAGCUACAGAUGAUAGUCUGCCUUUAUUU
rnacentral:snRNA from 1 species